ensembl:snRNA U6 U6 spliceosomal RNA
GUGCUCACUUCUGCAGCACAUACACUAAAAUCAGAAUGACACAGAGAAGAUUAGCAUGGCCCAUGCACAAGGAUUACACACAAAUUCAUGAAGCGUUUCAUACUUUU